rnacentral:lncRNA from 1 species
CUCUCUUGUCCUCAAUGGUGUAAGAAUUAAGUAUUUACAGGGUGGAAAUAUAGAUUUUAGGAUUUUGGUACAGGAGGGUUGAGAGACAAGAUGGAGGGAUCAGGGCGUGUCUUGUCCUUCUUCUUGUCCUCCAUUUUCUGUGGUGAUGUUGGCACUUUGGGAUUGGUUUGUCUUGCAUGUGCACUUGGCAUUAUGGGUGAAAGAUAUUGGGAAAGAAAGGUAAACAUAUGUACGUAGUUUUUAGUAUAAAAAUAGAGUACCACCCAGUGGGAGGUGAGAGUGCCCUUGGCUGCCUUGCUGGACAGACCUCUGUCGGGUCAAAAAAAAUUUUCAGGAUAAGGAAAAAUAAGCAACAUCAAGAACGUUAAAUCUGAAGACUCCCGGCUUGUCCUUCGAAGCGUGGGCAGUUCAAAGGCGACUCUACAUCAGACUGUACAGAGAAGAACAGCCGAAGCAGUCGAUCGUUUUUAAAGAAUCUGUGGUUGUAAACCCACCCUCAGGACGGGUAUCUAAACUCAAGCAUAACCACCAGACUAAAGAAGAAGAAUACAGGAAAGCCUUGCCAGAAUCAAGGAGCAUGUCACAAAAUAUAAGUAACCAGCCUUUGCAGCUUAAACCAGAGCUGCCAAAGGCAAGUGGCAUGCAUGCUUGGCCUUUUCCAAGGAGUCCUGCAACUACCGAUGAGCGCAGGUAAGGGGCAGCUCUGAGUGAGCCAGCACCAUCCUGCUGGAAAUGGAGUCCAAAGUCUUUUAUGAG